rnacentral:piRNA from 1 species
UAGAUAGAUACACACAGGGCUGAUAGCUG